rnacentral:rRNA from 1 species
AACGAACGCUGGCGGCAGGCUUAACACAUGCAAGUCGAGCGCCCCGCAAGGGGAGCGGCAGACGGGUGAGUAACGCGUGGGAACGUACCCUUUGCUACGGAAUAGCUCCGGGAAACUGGAAUUAAUACCGUAUGUGCCCUACGGGGGAAAGAUUUAUAGGCAAGGGAUCUGCCAGCGUUGGAUUAGCUAGUUGGUGGGGUAAUGGCCUACCAAGGCGACGAUCCAUAGCUGGUCUGAGAGGAUGAUCAGCAACAUUUGGACUGAGACACGGCCCAAACUCCUACGGGAGGCAGCAGUGGGGAAUAUUGGACAAUGGGCGCAAGCCUGAUCCAGCCAUGCCGCGUGAGUGAUGAAGGCCUUAGGGUUGUAAAGCUCUUUCACCGGAGAAGAUAAUGACGGUAUCCGGAGAAGAAGCCCCGGCUAACUUCGUGCCAGCCGCCGCAGUAAGAC